UUAGUUUGAGGAUGUAGAGGGAUUUCAAUCCCGGUUCUAUUUCUUCUGAAAUUCCUUAGCUAACAUGGACAGUUGCAAUCUGUAGCAGAAACACAACAACACAAUUCAGCAUGACUAACAUAACAAAAUUAGUUACUAACUUUAAUACCCUCAAACCCACUCCAAACUUCUUCAAAAACAAGCCAUCAGAAAUAGAACCGGGAUUGAAAUAUACCCUCAAACCCACUCCAAACUUCUUCAAAAACAAGCCAUCAGAAAUAGAACCGGGAUUGAAAUCCCUCUACAUCCUCAAACUAAUUCUGCAACCUGCAUAACAUCUUUCAACCUGGGGAUCAAUUAUGCAAUCUGAAUUCAACUCUGCAACCGGAGCUUCAACUCUAUAAUCUGCAAAAUCAACAAUUUAAAUCAAUAUUCUUUCAACCUGGGGAUCAAUUCUGUAAUCUGAAUUCAACUCUGCAACUGGAGCUUCAACUCU
rnacentral:lncRNA from 1 species